rnacentral:rRNA from 1 species
GUGAGGAAUCUUGCGCAAUGGGCGAAAGCCUGACGCAGCGACGCCGCGUGGAGGAUGAAGGUCUUCGGAUCGUAAACUCCUGUCGAGCGGGACGAAUGCCGGGAGGGUUAACAGCCUUUCCGGUUGACGGUACCGCUGGAGGAAGCCCCGGCUAACUCCGUGCCAGCAGCCGCGGUAAUACGGAGGGGGCCAGCGUUGUUCGGAAUUAUUGGGCGUAAAGGGCGCGUAGGCGGCCAUUCAAGUCGAACGUGAAAUCCCUCGGCUCAACCGGGGAACUGCGUCCGAUACUGUCUGGCUCGAGUCCUGGAGAGGGUAGUGGAAUUCCCAGUGUAGCGGUGAAAUGCGUAGAUACUGGGAGGAACACCGGUGGCGAAGGCGGCUACCUGGACAGGUACUGACGCUGAUGCGCGAAAGCUAGGGGAGCAAACAGGAUUAGAAACCCCAGUAGUCC